AGGCCAGACUCCUACGGGAGGCAGCAGUGAGGAAUAUUGGUCAAUGGGCGGGAGCCUGAACCAGCCAAGUCGCGUGAGGGAUGACGGCCCUAUGGGUUGUAAACCUCUUUUGCCGGGGAGCAAAGUGCCGCACGUGUGCGGUUUGGAGAGUACCCGGAGAAAAAGCAUCGGCUAACUACGUGCCAGCAGCCGCGGUAAUACGUAGGGGGCAAGCGUUAUCCGGAUUUACUGGGUGUAAAGGGAGCGUAGACGGCAUAGCAAGUCUGAAGUGAAAGCCCAAGGCUCAACCAUGGGACUGCUUUGGAAACUGUUAAGCUAGAGUGCUGGAGAGGUAAGCGGAAUUCCUAGUGUAGCGGUGAAAUGCGUAGAUAUUAGGAAGAACACCAGUGGCGAAGGCGGCUUACUGGACAGUAACUGACGUUGAGGCUCGAAAGCGUGGGGGGCAAACAGGAUUAGAUACCCCCGUA
rnacentral:rRNA from 1 species